rnacentral:rRNA from 1 species
UGGGGGAGUAUUGCACAAUGGGGGAAACCCGUACGAUGCAGCGACGCCGCGUGAGGGAAGACGGUCCUCUGGAUUGUAAACCUCUGUCUUCGGGGACGAAACGAGACGGUACCCGAGGAGGAAGCCACGGCUAACUACGUGCCAGCAGCCGCGGUAAUACGUAGGUGGCAAGCGUUGUCCGGAAUUACUGGGUGUAAAGGGAGCGUAGGCGGGCAGGCAAGUCAGGCGUGAAAUAUAUCGGCUCAACCGGUAUCUGCGCUUGAAACUGCAGGUCUUGAGUGAAGUAGAGGUUGGCGGAAUUCCUAGUGUAGCGGUGAAAUGCGUAGAUAUUAGGAGGAACACCAGUGGCGAAGGCGGCCAACUGGGCUUUUACUGACGCUGAGGCUCGAAAGUGUGGGGAGCAAACAGGAUUAGAUACCCUGGUAGU